ensembl:ncRNA F57G12.13 ncRNA
CUCAAAAGUGUGCCAAACAUUUACACAAAUACAAAGGCCCUCAACACACACACACAGUCGGUACACUUUGGCAGUGGUAAGAUACAGCUAUGGGCCUCAAAAUAAACAGAAAUUGAAACUUGCAGGCACCAGUAUU